ensembl:lncRNA
AGAGGCAGGCAGUGCGUCUUACUUCCACAUAGUCUCAGGAAACACAUUAAUAGUCACUUGGCUCUCACCAUAUCCCCUUGGAAAUCCCCAGGUGUGCCCUUUGCACAACUAAAAAUAAAUAGAGGAAAUAAAGGUGGUUUUCCUUUGAAAUCGGCUGGUUGUUAUUCUGCUUUGUUCUCACAGGUGAUGCAAUACUGUAUCUCUGUCCACAGACAUGACUCCACUCCCGCCAAACCCACCUGUGAACACAGUCACCUCAUUGCCAAGUGGUGAUCAGCUUCUGGUUUCAGUGUUGGGUUGUGUCAAAGGAGAGAGAGGUACCACAUCAGCCUUUCCCAGCGUGUGCCUUGUAGAAACUAGUUCUGCAGGAUGUUUGUGAAUAGUCAAAGCAAAGGUAGGAAUUCACUGAUCAAACAGGACAAAGAGAGGCAUUCAAGAUGGAAGAAAUAAUAUGUGUGAAAGUACAGAGAUAUGAAAAAGCUCUUCACUCAUCUAUUCAACAAAUAUUUAUUGAAAACCUAUUAUGUGCCAGGUGACGACUACUGGAGUUUCAGUGGUAAGUAAGGAUGACCAAAACCCUUCUCUCAAAGAGCUUCUGUUCUUGUGGGGUCUAUGAUUAAAACAAACAAUUUAGAUGAAAUCAAGUACUCUGAAUAUGAUGAUAGAAAAAGAGAGGCUUCUACAGUAUAUGGGGGAAGAGGAAGUAAGAGAAGGUUUUCUGGAAAAAGUUACAUCUAAACCCAGACCUAAAGGAUAAGCACGAGUGAUCUAGGCAAACAGUGUAGGUAGAAGCUGAAAAUUUCAAGCAAAAGGGUCCUUAUGGGGUAGGAGCAUAGGGCAAAAAAGAAAUGGUGAGUUCAAAGAACUUGAACUUGAAAUCCAGUACGGCUGAAUUUGAUGUGAGGGGAUGAAAGUGAAAGCAAAUGAGCUUUAGGGAGUAAGCAAGGGGAGAUCAGAAGAUUGUGUUGUAUCUUAGAACUAAUGCGUGAUGGUUUGGAUUUCCAGAUGUAGGAAACAGCAAUUCCUAAGGAUCUGAAGCACCUGACCAAAACAUCAUAUUUUUAUUUUGAAAUGGUGAUCGUGGCAGCAUUAAGAAUUUAUUGCAGAGGAGCAAGACUAGGAAAACUUAUACUAACUGGGAGAGGCUUGCCUCUUAGCAGUGGUGGUGCAGAUGGAGAAAAGAGAAACCUGGGAAGGUCAUUUAAAGGGCAGCCUUAGAAGGUCUGUGCCUGAGUAGGUGCUGAGAGGGAAGAAUUUGGUCGACACCUAUGUCCUCAGUUUGGGUCCCAAGGUGGAUGGUGGUUCCAUAAGCCAGAAUAGACAUCACAGGACAAGGAAGAGGAGAAGACAGAGGAAUCUGAGAAAUAAGGUUGAGUUGU